AAAACAUUACUCAAGACGACAGCAAAAGGAAAGCUGAUUUGUCAAUAUUUUGAAGAACAUGGUCGGUUGGAAAAUAUCCACCGAGAUAAUUUAAUUACGCUUAUUGUAGAGGACGCAAAUAUUAACAACAUUAAAAUUAAAGCAUCCGAUUUUCCGGAUUUAGUACAGCAAAUAAUUAAUAAUUUCCCUACGGAGAACAGUGCUGAGGAUUAUUAUUUUAUUUGCUGAAAAGGCAAAAGAGCACCAUGCGGAAAGCUGUACUCUAAAUAUACAAAUAGUAGAGUAAAACGCAACCAUCUAAAUUAUUUAACAGAACAACGUACAGAGGCACCAGCGAACGACGAUUCUCCUGAAGUUGAGGCACUUCGUAUGAGAGCAAUUGUUAUUUAGCGCAUCACAGAAUUACUGACUUUGAACUAUUUAAAGCAUUAGCAUUUUAUUAUCAAGAUGAAAAUAUGUUUGUGAUCUGUCAACCAAUAACAAUUAAAACUUUUGAUGAGCACUUUCAAUCCUACGAAGUUGGUGCAGCAAUGAAUGAAAUAGUUAUAAAAAAUAUA